AGCGAACGCUGGCGGCAGGCUUAACACAUGCAAGUCGAGCGGGCCCUUCGGGGUCAGCGGCGGACGGGUGAGUAACGCGUGGGAACGUGCCUGCUGGUCUGGAAUAACCCUGGGAAACUAGGGCUAAUACCGGAUACGCCCUUUUGGGGAAAGGUUUACUGCCGGAAGAUCGGCCCGCGUGUGAUUAGCUAGUUGGUGGGGUAACGGCCUACCAAGGCGACGAUCAGUAGCUGGUCUGAGAGGAUGAUCCGCCACACUGGGACUGAGACACGGCCCAGCCUCCUGCGGGAGGCAGCAGUGGGGAAUAUUGGACAAUGGGCGCAAGCCUGAUCCAGCCAUGCCGCGUGAGUGAUGAAGGCCUUAGGGUUGUAAAGCUCUUUUAUCCGGGACGAUAAUGACGGUACCGGAGGAAUAAGCCUCGGCUAACUUCGUG
rnacentral:rRNA from 1 species